UGAUCACAGAAUAGUUCCGGGGAU
rnacentral:piRNA from 1 species